CCAGGGGUGGCGGAGUGGUCAAUCGCACCAGACUGUAAAUCUGGCGGGUCUUCCCUACGUUGGUUCGAACCCAACCCCCUGGACCA
rnacentral:tRNA from 2 species